UACGUAGGGGGCAAGCGUUGUCCGGAAUCAUUGGGCGUAAAGAGCGUGUAGGCGGCUCGGUAAGUCCGCUGUGAAAGUCCAGGGCUCAACCCUGGAAUGCCGGUGGAAACUGUCGAGCUCGAGUCCGGAAGAGGCGAGUGGGAUCCUGGUGGAGUGGUGAAAUGCGUAGAGAUCAGGAAGAACGCCCGUGGCGAAGGCGGCCCACUGGGCCGGUGCUGACGCUGAGGCGCGAAAGCGUGGGGAGCAAACAGG
rnacentral:rRNA from 1 species